rnacentral:rRNA from 1 species
ACAAGCGGAGGAGCAUGUGGUUUAAUUCGAUGAUACGCGAGGAACCUUACCUGGGCUCGAACGUAAGAUGACUGUAGGUGAAAGCUUACAUCUCUUCGGAGCAUUUCACGAGGUGCUGCAUGGUUGUCGUCAGCUCGUGCCGUGAGGUGUCGGGUUAAGUCCCAUAACGAGCGCAACCCCUACCUUUAGUUGCCAUCAGGUAAUGCUGGGGACUCUAAAGGAACUGCCUACGCAAGUAGUGAGGAAGGCGGGGAUGACGUCAAAUCAGCACGGCCCUUACGUCCAGGGCUACACACGUGCUACAAUGGCCGAUACAGAGGGCAGCUACCUGGUGACAGGAUGCAAAUCUCCAAAGUCGGUCUCAGUUCGGAUCGGAGUCUGCAACCCGACUCCGUGAAGUUGGAUUCGCUAGUAAUCGUGAAUCAGAAUGUCACGGUGAAUACGUUCCCGGGCCUU